UGCAAUGAUGAAUUGCUCAGACUAGAGUCUCUGACUUUUUCUGAUGUCUCUUUGAAAGCCCUGAGUA
ensembl:snoRNA